GACGAACGCUGGCGGCGUGCCUAAUACAUGCAAGUCGAGCGGUCAGAAGGGAGCUUGCUCCCGGAAGUUAGCGGCGGACGGGUGAGUAACACGUGGGCAACCUACCCUGUAGAUCGGGAUAACAUCGAGAAAUCGGUGCUAAUACCGGAUAAUCAUUUGAAGUGCAUGCUUCGAAUGUAAAAGAUGGCUCCGGCUAUCACUACGGGAUGGGCCCGCGGCGCAUUAGCUAGUUGGUAAGGUAAUGGCUUACCAAGGCAACGAUGCGUAGCCGACCUGAGAGGGUGAUCGGCCGCACUGGGACUGAGACACGGCCCAGACUCCUACGGGAGGCAGCAGUAGGGAAUCUUCCGCAAUGGACGAAAGUCUGACGGAGCAACGCCCCGUGAGUGAUGAAGGUUUUCGGAUCGUAAAGCUCUGUUGUUAGGGAAGAACAAGUGCCGUUUGAAUAAGGCGGCACCUUGACGGUACCUAACCAGAAAGCCACGGCUAACUACGUGCCAGCCGCCGCCGUAAGAC
rnacentral:rRNA from 1 species